rnacentral:rRNA from 1 species
GAUGAACGCUGGCGGCGUGCCUAAUACAUGCAAGUCGAGCGAACAGAUAAGGAGCUUGCUCCUUUGACGUUAGCGGCGGACGGGUGAGUAACACGUGGGUAACCUACCUAUAAGACUGGAAUAACUCCGGGAAACCGGGACUAAUGCCGGAUAACAUUUAGAACCGCAUGGUUCUAAAGUGAAAGAUGGUUUUGCUAUCACUUAUAGAUGGACCCGCGCCGUAUUAGCUAGUUGGUAAGGUAACGGCUUACCAAGGCAACGAUACGUAGCCGACCUGAGAGGGUGAUCGGCCACACUGGAACUGAGACACGGUCCAGGCUCCUACGGGAGGCAGCAGUAGGGAAUCUUCCGCAAUGGGCGAAAGCCUGACGGAGCAACGCCGCGUGAGUGAUGAAGGUCUUCGGAUCGUAAAACUCUGUUAUUAGGGAAGAACAAAUGUGUAAGUAACUGUGCACGUCUUGACGGUACCUAAUCAGAAAGCCACGGCUAACUACGUG